UCUAUCUAUAAUCAUUUUACUCAUUCGUUGUGAAAGAUCAAGCAACCAGAAGCUCAACUUUAGUUUUUCCUCCACUAAAUAUUUCGAGCAGGCCAAGUUUGUGGUGCACCAGAUUAACGAACCAGCAACUUCGUUCUAAAGGCUUUGUGGAUCGUGAGGAGUAACACUGCUAUACCGAUUUAGAGUUAAGAAUAAACGACAGGCAUUGCCUAAUCAGGUUGAGCAGCUGAUGGAAUGGAAUGGUGUUGAGCAGGUGUUCCUUUGAUCAUUUCAAGAAAUGUAACCUUGAGUAUACAUCUUCAUAUGUAUAUCUCACACGUUUUCCGCUGUAAAAUACUUUGAUUAGGAUAGCUCUAUGUUAUGAAGUUGGGAUACGUGUUAUUGGGUAACCCACCUUAAUCAGUUCUCAUUUAUGUAUGUGUUUUAUAAGUAUCCAAAUAAUCAUAUAUGAUCCUAGCAUUUUAUCUAUGAGUGACAUCUCCAUAUACUUUAAUGUUAAGUAAUUGUCCAUUUCCA